CUGGACUCUCUCCUGAGUUCAUGACUUAACCAGGCACUUCCGUCCUGUGGCUCUGCAUGGGUGUGGCUCUUCCUCUUGGGAACUAGAAACACCAGGAAAUGUGCAGCCACCUUGCAACUGUGAG
rnacentral:lncRNA from 1 species